rnacentral:rRNA from 1 species
UACAGAGGGUGCAAGCGUUAAUCGGAAUUACUGGGCGUAAAGAGAGCGUAGGUCGUUGAGUAAGUCGGAUGUGAAAUCCCCGGGCUUAACCUGGGAAUUGCAUUCGAUACUGCCUGACUAGAGUGUGGAAGAGGGAAGCGGAAUUUCCGGUGUAGCGGUGAAAUGCGUAGAUAUCGGAAGGAACACCAGUGGCUAAGGCGGCUUCCUGGUCCAACACUGACGCUGAGGCGCGAAAGCGUGGGGAGCGAACAGG